CAGGCAUGUACCACAACACUUGGCAAUUUAUAAAUGUUUAAUAUUUAAACAUUCAUAUGAUAAACACUAUUUUUAAUAUUUUAUUAUGAAGGCUUUAAAAAAGUAUAUAUAAAAGCUAAAAGAAUUGGUUCGAGUCUCUUAGUACAUUUCAACUGUGCUUCAAAAAAAAGCUAAAAUAAUUGUAUAAUGAACAUUUAUGUACUGACCACUUAUUUACACCAGAUGUUGGCAGACAGGGGCCAGAUCUAAUUGCUGGGUCUCUUUUGUAAAUAACGUUCUAUUGGAACACAUCCCUGUCAUGAUGUAUCUGUUCCUCUGGGCAUGACAGAGAAGCUGUGGUGGCCUGCAGAAGACCCUCAGCCAUAGUCAUGGCAAUGAGCUGAGAAGCACAAUGAUAAGCCAGGAGCUAGGUCCGGGACAUUAGUGGCAAUGAGAUGGUUGGUGCGGUUUGCAGGAUGCCAGAAUGUGGAGGAGGGAGUUGGACUUCUUGGUGGUGCAGUUGCCCAGAAGUUGCCCAAAGGACUCCCCAGUGGUACAGCUGUCUGUGAGUGGCCUGCGCUCCUCUAAAUACCACUAAUAAAUUCAUCCGUCUGACUAUUUAUGUGAUACAAUAACAAAUCCGAGUGGUUCAAACAGAAAAUGUAAAUCCUAAAGUCCAUGCUAUGUACAUUUACAUAUCCAGUCAUCAACCCACUAUAGACUUGAGAGUGGAUUUCAGGGUCAUAUUUACCCACAUAACUCCCAAAAGCUCAUACCAAGAGAUAACAUUGAAACAAGUAACCGCUUAGCUAAUAUCAAACUCUGUAGUGGCUCUUCUGGACACAGGGCAUGUGACAUUCCAGUAAGGGAGGGGGUGGGCCAAGAUUUCCAGAGGGAGAGUGAGCAGAGCAGAUGGAGAAUCAUUAAUCCACAAAUCCGCGAUCAGCAAGCUGAAAGAUUCUAAAGCAUGUUUACCAUGAUCAAGUAGAUAAAAGGGAGCCCUGUGACCACUCAGGCGGAACAUCAAAGCAACCAUCACAGCCUUGCGCCCAGGUGGGGUGCCUUCCUCUGAAGUGAUUCAGUUUGACUGAGAUUCAUUUUCCCCAUCAACAGAAUGGAAUCAAGAGUGGAUUCACAGGGUUUUAAUGAAGACUAAGCAGAAUAAAGCCUUCCGUGACUACAGAGACACCAUCAAGAAGAGUAAAUGACCCCUUUUGUAAUGGUCAUUCCUGGUUGUCAACUUGAUUAUAUCUGGAAUGAACUACAGUCCAGAAUCGGAGGGCUCACCUGCGAGAUCUCUGAGUCAACCUGGGACAAAGCAAGUCCCAGGUCAAGAUGUGGUGGUACACGUCUGGGCCACAUCUUCUGCUGGAGGCCUACAUAAGGACAUUGGAAGAAGGAAGACUCACUCUUAUUCACCUGCUUGCUCUUACUUGCCAGGACAUCUGUUGGAACCUACUUACUCAGGAUUCCAGCCUCUACAGAAGACCAGCUGAAACAACUAGCCUCGUGGGACUGAGCAACUACUAGAUUCUUGGACUUCCCGUCCACAGCUGCCCAUUGUUGGGGAGUUGUCCUGCAGCACAUCUGUUGGAACAUCUGUGGGAAAUGUUCGUGGGACAUUUACAUCUACAUGUAUACUCUUACACACGUGCACAAACGUGAACAUGUACACACACAUACAUAUCACACACAUGUGUGAAAAUGCUUAUGUACACAGGAAGAAAGAAAGUAACAAAGAAAGAAAGAAAAAGAAAAUGAGUUGGUAACUGGGGGACCCCAGGGUGAAUUUCCCACAAAAGGAGUCCAGCCUCCAGGUGAGAUACUGAGCAAAUGCUUGGACAACCCCACUGUGUAAACCACACAGCCAGCAGCCCCUCAUCUGUGGGGUACUUUUUGAGCCUAAAAUAAAAGAAAUAUCUAGAAUAGUCUCAAGGGUAAAGGGCUAUGGCUUAUGACUCCAGGUAACCUCAAGCAUGAUGCUGGACACCAUGCACCAAUUAACGAGCCCUGGUUGAUAGAUUUAUUAUGGGAAGACGAGUAAGACAAAGCAACGUUUGAGUGCUGCCAAGCCACACUUGGAUAGAGCCCACAAACAAUAAAAUUCUUCAUAACUUCUGGUUUAGUCCAUCUUCAUUGACGCAACACCCAAGGAAAAAACACUGAUUCCUUUCCAGUACCUUCAAUCCUGUAAUGAAAGGCAGUAAAAACCAGCUAGGAGCCUGAAGGAGAGGCUUGGACUAUUAAGCUUACAGGUUACCUUGACUUCUUGUAGGAAAGAAUACUGUUUUCUGUUUAAAAAGUCCUCUUGAAGUUGAAAUAGAAAUCUGUUUUGGCAGCAUUAAUCAACACCAGGGGGCAGGAGCGUAAGCAGAGUCAAUACAGCUUUUCUAGGACGGUGGUGGGGCUGGGAUGGGGAGGGGUGGGGGCAGCCUGAGAACAUUUAAAAAGCUUCCAACGUGGUUCUUGGCACCCAGCUAAGAGUCUCUCUGAAUUACUUGAAUCUGAAAGCUUGAAAACCUUUUCAAAUUUAUUUGUUAAUUACAGAAGCCUUCUGUGUUCAUUGUGUGUGUGUGUGUGUGUGUGGAACCCAAAAAACCAAACCAAAACGAACCAAAACAACAACAACAACAAUCUCCAAAAACCACGAAGAAGCAAAACAAAAACAUUUUACCACGAGUACUGUCACCAUCCCCUAGUAAGCACUAACAUUUUGGUGAAGAAUAUUCUAGAGCCUGUCCCUGCAUAUCUUUCCCUCCUAAGUAGAAUCAAACUGCAUUGUUCUUACAGUGUGCUGUUUCAUAGCUUUAGCUGGUAAUAGUCACCCUUUAUCUCAGCAUAUACGGUUUGCGUAGAGAAAAGGCCUAUCCAAGAUUCUAGUUUUGGCUCUGACCUAACCAGCCCUUGGCUACCAGCUCUGCUUCCUCCUCGGGGUUUAGAUUUAUCAACUGUGAAACACAAAGUGUUUGAAGCCAACAAUACACAAGGCGCCUCCUGUCUUUAUCCUUGUAACUGACCAUUAAUGAAAGGAAGCCAGAAUGGGGCAGACGGCAGUUAUCCUGCAUGCAGGUUCUGAUCCCAGAGAGCCACAACUCUACUUGGAAGGUCCCGGCCAGGUUUCUUGAUCUCCUAAUGGUUUUCCUUUAUCUAAGAUGGUAUUUAUGACAGGCAGUUCCAUGUAGGAUGCUGUAAGUAUUUAACAGAUGACAUGGUGCGCAUGCUUGGCCCAUGAUAAGACUCAAUGAGCCAUGCAUGGUGGUGACUGCUGCUUCUCUCAGGUACUAACUUUGCUGAGGUGAGAGUAGAAAUGAGCACAGGAGGAUCGAGUAUUGAACUGAGCUCUAACGUGGGAUGUUGCUGAUACACACAAGUUUAUUCCUCAAAGCAAAUUUACCAUCUCCAUAUUGCACAACAGGAAUCUGAGGCUAGAACUUGCCUGGGUUCAGGUGAGGAUUAAAACCCUAAACAUUGGCCUUUCACGUGGUCUUGGCCAUCUUGAGAGGGGCGUUAGUUCUGCUGUUGGUCAGGUGCUUUAUUCAGAAGUAAAGCCCAAGAGAGAGAGAGGGAGAGAGAGGGAUGGUCCAGCGGCUAAGAGCACUUGUUACCCUUGGUAGAGGACCAGGGUUUGGUUCCCAGCACCCACGUGGUGGCUUACAACCAAUGACAGGGUAUCCAGUGCCCACCUCUGACCUCUGAGGGCACUACAUGUAUGUGGUAUGCAUACAUACAGAGGGGUAAAAAACACUCAUAUGUCUAAUAUAAAAAUAAAUCUUUAAAAAGUCCAAUUAUCAAGUUUCUUCCUCUGUGAUGUUCAGUAGACGUUUCUUUAAAAAAAUAUUUAUUUUAGUUUUACUUUGUGUUGGUUAUGUGCACAUGUGUGCAGGUCCUGCAAAAGCCAGAGGAGGGCGGUAGAGCCCCUGAAGCUGGAGUUCCAGGCUGUGUAUGAGCGCCUGAGCUGGGUGGUACGACCUGCUCUCUGGUCUGUGGAAAGAAGAGCAAGGGACUCCUACCCUCUGAGCCGUUCUCCAGCCCCAUAGCAUGGUUCUUAUUCUUUACUCCAUUGUAACAAUUCUUGAGUCUGACAGUUACAUGACAGAGGAAUUUUUUGCACAUUCUAAUUGGCUUCUAGAUAGCCAAGCAGAGCUAGGUCAUGGACUUUGUAAAAAUAAUCAGUAUUCAUACGCAUAGAACAACAAGUAGGGGGAAAAAGGGCCAUGAAUUUGAAAGAGACCAAGGAACGUAGGAAUGUUCGGAGGGAGGAAAGGAAAGGGGGAAGAACAA
rnacentral:lncRNA from 1 species